rnacentral:rRNA from 1 species
CCUACGGGAGGCAGCAGUGAGGAAUAUUGGUCAAUGGAGGCAACUCUGACCCAGCCACGCCGCGUGAAGGAUGAAUGUCUUCUGAGUGUAAAGUUCUUUUAUUGGGGAUGUACACAAUGACGGUACCCCAUUAUCAAGCCACGGCUAACUACGUGCAAGCAGCAGCGGUAAUACAUAGGUGGCAAGCGUUAUCCGGAUUGACUGGGGGUAAAGGGUGCGUAGGUGGGUUAGUAAGUUGGCGGUGUAAUUCUGGGGCUCAACCGCGGCUCUGCAGCCAAAACUAUUAGACUAGAGUGCAGUGGGGGUAGGUGGAAUUCGUAGUGUAGCGGUGGAAUGCUUAGAUAUCACGAGGAACCCCAGGGGCGAAGGCGACUUACUAGACUGUAACUGACACUGAGGCACGAAAGUGUGGGGAGCAAACAGGAUUAGAUACCCUUGUAGUC